UACGAAGGUGGCAAGCGUUGUUCGGAUUUACUGGGCGUACAGGGAGCGUAGGCGGUUGGGUAAGCCCUCCGUGAAAUCUCCGGGCCUAACCCGGAAAGUGCGGAGGGGACUGCUCGGCUAGAGGAUGGGAGGGGAGCGCGGAAUUCCCGGUGUAGCGGUGAAAUGCGUAGAGAUCGGGAGGAAGGCCGGUGGCGAAGGCGGCGCUCUGGAACAUUUCUGACGCUGAGGCUCGAAAGCGUGGGGAGCAAACAGGAUUAGAUACCCUGGUAGUCCACGCCUUAAACGAUGGAUACUAAGUGUCGGCGGGUUACCGCCGGUGCCGCAGCUAACGCAUUAAGUAUCCCGCCUGGGAAGUACGGCCGCAAGGUUGAA
rnacentral:rRNA from 1 species